GGGCCUGUGGUCUAGUGGAUAUGGCGCGGGGCUUCGGACCCUGAGAUCGGGGGUUCAAAUCCCCCCAGGCCCG
rnacentral:tRNA from 1 species